GCGGCGCUGCCGGUGCGAGCUGCCAGCACUGCGCCAGGGGAAGGGCGGCGGGUGUGGCCCGGGAGGCCUGGAGGUGGCUUUCCGGGGCCCGCGGAAGAGCGGGGCAGGUGCCUGCUCGAGACUGCCCCUGCCCUGGUCGCCCCGAAACAGCCUGGCCAAGUGGGCGCGGGAUAUUUGCCAUCUACUUGGCACCAGAAGAAAACAACUCUACUUGUUUAAAGAGUUCAUAGCAUCAUGUGUCUUUUGGUUGUUUAUGUGAGAGAAAGAGCGCAAGCAGGGGAAGGACAAAGGAAGACAGGGAGAGAAUCCUUAAGCUGGCUCCAAGCUCAGUGUGGAGGCCCACACAGGCCUCCAUCCCAAGACUUUGGGAUCAUGACCUGGCAGAAACAAGAAGAGUCAGGCGCUCAACCAACUGAGCCACCCAGGCACCCUUGCCCUGUGUCUUUUAAAUGUUCCCAAGACUGAUAAAUUAUGACACUAACAUUAUGUCAUUGCAAGGAGGUCUUGCCUAAAUGAAUUCUUUCAUAAGCAGCCUUUCCUUGCACACUGCUUGUGUGAUUUGUUUCUGCCAAAAAUAUAUUCCCAGAUUUUUAUGGAAUAUUCUGACAUGUGAAUGCCCCCACAUCUGUGUGGGCUGGCAGCUCUGGAGACAUUAAUGGAUGAAGGAAAAUCUUGCAAAUGUUCCUAUGGUUUUGAGGAAUGAGGUAGUAGGAUUUGUACAUUUUUGUUUCGUUCAUAUCAGAUCCUUUGCAUUUUUCUUUGAUGUCAAGAAAUAAAACUUCUUUCUCGAGAGCAGUCAUUUUUGUGGUUUUCACAAAAUUAAGUUGUUUUUUGCAAACAUUUCACUCUCUGCACAUAUCUGGAAAACAUUCAUUCAAACAUUAAAAAUUGGAUGCCACUUUUCAAUUUAUUAAUAAAAUGUGUGUCUGUGUCUUUUUAGUUUUGGUUAACUCCUUGUAAACUUAUGGAAAUCUGGCAAAGUAAGUCUUUGACUAUGUAUAUUUAAGUUCUCUUUCUACAAAUUCCUUGUUUUAUCUACAUUUACUAUUUUUCUUACUGUUUUUUUGUUUAUUUCACUUUUUAUUUGGAAAUAAUUAUAGACUUGCAAAAGGGUGCAAAAAUAAUGCAGAGAGGUUCUGUGUGCCCUUCACCCAAGUUCAGCCUUUCCUAGCAUCUUGCAUACCAUAAUACAUUAUUCAAACUAGAACAUUAACAUCUUGCUAUCUUUGGGUUUUUAGUUUCUUUUUAAGUUUCAUUAUAUCAAAAAAUUACCAUUUUGUAACAAUUCAUUUAUAUUGUAUUUGAUUUGGCUCCUCUCCCUUUUCCAUAUUAACAAAUGACUAAGUCAAUAAGCUUGCCAACAUGCUAAUCUGGAAUUACAAGCUUACUAAAAAAAUUGUGUUUCAGUUCACUUAAAAGGAAGUCAUUUGUAAGACUUUUGCUGUUUUCUGCUUAUAUUGCUCCAUGUCAUUCCACCGUAAUAAACCUAUAAAUUUA